rnacentral:rRNA from 1 species
UACGUAGGGGGCUAGCGUUGUCCGGAAUCAUUGGGCGUAAAGCGCGUGUAGGCGGUCCGGUAAGUCCGCUGUGAAAGUCCAGGGCUCAACCCUGGAAUGCCGGUGGAAACUGUCGAGCUCGAGUCCGGAAGAGGCGAGUGGAAUUCCUGGUGUAGCGGUGAAAUGCGCAGAUAUCAGGAGGAACACCGAUAGCGAAGGCAGCUCGCUGGGACGGUACUGACGCUGAGGUGCGAAAGCGUGGGGAGCGAACAGG